CGGAUGACCCACGAGGCAGAGAGAAAAGCUGCUGUUUGUAUUUGCUCUUCCGUGUGUUGAAUAAUACAUACAUAUAUAUAUAUAUAUAUGUAUAUAUAUAUAUAUUUAUUUAGCACAUAUUGUUGCUGAUAUACACUUGAAUAUCUAAGUACAGUUGUUCAUCAUAUAUUUCUGUUAAAAGCCAUUUUCAACCACUAUGGACAUCAGACCAAACCACACAAUUUAUAUUAACAAUUUGAAUGAAAGUAUUAAGAAAGAUGAACUAAAGAAAUCUUUAUAUGCAAUUUUCUCACAAUUUGGCCAAAUUCUUGACAUUGUUGCCUUAAAAACUUUGAAAUGUCGAGGACAAGCUUUUGUAAUUUUUAAAGACAUCAACAGUGCCACAAAUGCUCUCCGGUCAAUGCAAGGCUUCCCGUUCUAUGACAAACCAAUGAGAAUACAGUAUUCCAAGAAAGAUUCUGAUAUCAUUGCGAAGAUGAAAGGUACCUAUACAGAAAGACCAAAAAAGAAAAAAGAUGAUGAGCCAGAAAAUAAGAAACGCAAGAAGGGAGCUUCCCAACAGGCUGUUGCCGCUGCUGCUAAGGCCCAGGCAGCUGGUGUAGUACCACCUCCUAUCCAACCCAUUUCAGCAAUGGCUGGUCAACCAGUUCCUCAACAACCUGUACUACAACAAUUACAGCAGCCAGUUGUUCAAAAUUCUACAAAUAUGGCAGCGCCAAAUACCAUUCCAGAACAGCCUCCUAACCAAAUUCUGUUCUUAACCAACCUUCCUGAGGAAACCACAGAAAUGAUGUUGUCAAUGUUGUUCAAUCAAUUUCCUGGUUUCAAAGAGGUCCGUUUGGUGCCUGGUCGGCAUGAUAUUGCAUUUGUUGAAUUUGAAAAUGAAAUGCAAGCUGGUGCGGCAAAGGAUGCACUUCAAGGCUUCAAGAUUACACCAAACAAUGCAAUGAAAAUCACAUUUGCUAAGAAGUAGGACAAGAAAGAAGACAGUAAAAAUAUGAUGAAAGAAAUUUGGUGCAUUUCAGUAAAACUUACAAAAUAAACCAUCAAAUUCUGCACAACUUUGCUGCCAGAUGGAAUGAAAUGGACGCCUUCAGUAGUAUGUAAUCUACAAUCAACAACUGACACAUGUUGGGAUAUUAAUCUCUUGACAAUCCAACAGAAGAUGGAACUAUCAAAUUACUGAUAGCAAUCAAUAUUUCACUGUCCUACAACAGUAUGAGUGUGUUUGUGUGUGUGUAUUCAUUUGGUUUAACCAGAAUAAGGAGGAGGGUCAGGCUCCAUACAGCGGAAGGAACCGUAAAUCAUAAGAUUGCUACAGUGGAUCCUUUGUUUGGAGUCUUGGUCUAAAUGUCUGCAACAGAAUGUCCUCCAUUGAAACACCAAGCAUGAUGUGAUGGUGUUGAAGCAAGUAACCGACUGGGUCAUCCACCAACCAGGAACAGGUAAAAAGUCCAAUAAGAUUCCACACAGUUUCCCUGACCAAAUUUCAUUCACAAUUGGAUUAAUCUUAGGUUAUGUAGAGUGGAAUCGAAGUUGGAUUGGUGAAAUGAUGUAUUAUCUUUUUCAACAUCCACUUUUCUAUGCUUGCAUGGGUUAGAUGGAAUCUGUUGAGACAGAUUUUCUACAGCUGGAUGCUCUUUCUGCCACCCACCAUUACUUGUUUCCAAGUAAGAUAAUUUCUUUAUGGCCAGACAUGUUUUCGUAACAGUUUGGAAAUGAACAAAAUUGCUUGUGUGAUGAUGAUAAUGAGGCUCAUUUUCAACUAUCACGUAAUUUCAAGACAGGGAAACAAUGAUACUCACACACACAAGAUGGGCUUCCUUCAGUUUCCAUCUACCAAAUCCACUCAGAGGGCUUUUAUCGGCCUGGAGCUAUAGUAGAAGACACGUGUCCAAGGUGCCAUACAGUGGGACUGAACCCAAAACCAUGUGGUUGGGAAGCAAGCUUCUAAACUACACAGCCAUACCUGCAUUUCAUUGUAUAUUCUAUGUGAUAUGACUAUGAUACAUCAUAUAUCAUAAAUACACUUAUCAUAACUUAGGAUUUUACUAUUCAGUUCAGCCCAGCAUAGAGAAAUUAAUGGUUUCAAUUCCUUACCUGUAGGUCUCAUUGGCUUCUGGUUUAGGGAUGAUUAUCAGACACACACAUAGUACUGUAUAAGAUCCAAUACGUGUGAUUUUUUUGAGAAAUUUUAGCAGAAAUAUUCAAAUCAAUUCACAGGAACUGCAAGCCCCAACCUUGAGAAAAAUCUGGUAGAACUCUCAGACACAUCUGCAACAUUCCAGAACACUGCUAUAACUCAGUUUUAAUAAAUGUUAUCUUUCCUACUCAUAAAAACACACAUACCCACAAAAACAACUGUAGCUUCUGUGUCUUUGUUAACCUUCAGCAUUGUGCAAAGUUACAUGAUACCAUUGGUGGUAGGUGCAGAGGAAUGGGAAUUAUUGUAUUCCAACCAAGUUGAUCUGGUCCAUCUCUGCUGUACCCAGCUCCAGAAUCUGUACUUACACAGAAAUUAAUUGGACAAUGGAGAAAAGGUAACAUGUUCAUAUUAUUAUCACUCAGUAGUCCCUUUGAUAAACAUCAUUAUGUUUCUCUGUCCUGUGUGUUUUGUACCAGACUGAGGUAUGGUGUUUGGAUCAUCGGUUUUCUAAGUCUCAGUAGUUUGACCAAUUCUCAGUAUAUCAUCUAAGCUAUUUCAAUCUGUGACAAUAACUAAUAAAAACUAUUCAAUUUACAUA